AAAAUGAGUUUUAUUAGUUGGGAAAAAAUAAGCUUAUCCCAACGUUUUCUUUAAUGUAUUGGAAAAUAUUUUAUCUAACCUAACUGUGUUGCUGAAAAUACCCACAUCACUUUAAAACGGUGGGGUUUAAUAAACCAGAAAAAUUAACCCUAGAGACACUGGUUUCUUUCUGCAGCCACAGGUCUUCUUCCGCCUUUUUCUUCUUCAUCACUAGACGACUUCUUCUUUGCUUAGAUCUGAUUUUUAUUUCAACAGUUAUCUUUCACUAACGUUUCAGCCACGCGGCUUUCCCUUAACUUUUGCUCUCAAAAUCUCUCUUUCUUCGCUGCUUCACACACUCCAAACAAUCCACAACUCAGUAGUGGCACAGCUAUGGAUGAAGAAUUCUCGUUCGACGAUCCAACUUAGUUGCUCGACUCAGCUUCUGAUUUCGCUCACCACCCCGGUUCUCUUAACGAUGCUGCAGUCAAAGAUUUUAUCGACCAUUUCCCUCUCCUUGUCAUCAUCAGGCACUCCAUUUUACUUCUACUUAAAUUUUCUUUUAUGCUCAUUUUUUUUCUCUCUAUUAAUUUGGGUAUUUCUAGGAAUUUUUUUACUGGGUAUUUGUUAUAUAAUUGCAAUCAUAUAACUUUGUUGCUUUGAUGCUGAAAUGAAUCACUUUUCAUCACGGGGGAUUUGUUUUAGGGUUUUCAGUUUUGACUUAAAAUAAUAGGGUUUUAGCUUUUACUAGCCCUCUUACAGUGCUUUGCAAACUAAAUCCGAUGUGCCUGACCUGGAAAAUACUCUGGUUGCUUGUUUGGAGAGAGUGUUUAAGACUAAGUAUGGUGCCUCACUCAUUCCACAAUACAUGGAAAGAGCUGAUCACGGUACUGCUCUUUCCCAUGGAUGAUCCACCUUGAAUGAUAGUCAUUCCACACCAAUUUCAUUUGUUGGCCUUUGCUAUAGUGUUGAAAUCAAGGAUUCACAUAAGAGCUGAUCACAGUACUGCUCUUUCCCAUGGAUGAUCCACCUUGAAUGAUGGUCAUUCCACACCAAUUUCAUUUGUUGGCCUUUGCUAUAGUGUUGAAAUCAAGGAUUUACAUAUUCCACCUUGGAUUAUCAGCAAAAUAUGUUCUCUAAUGGCCUCUAAAGGACAAAGCUUUGAAGCAAGGUAUAAUAUACAUUUUUUUUCUUAGAUCAAAUUAUUGCAUUCUAUCAGAUGUCUUAUUUUAGGUCUAUCAUCAAUUAUGAUAUCAACUAAUGUUUGGGAUGAUAUGAAAUUGUACUACUUUUUUCUCCCUCCUCCCCUUUUAAAAUGAGAAGUUUUGAAUGCAACUAUGAUAUCAUAAUAUUUUAAGAUGUUUACACACACAAAUGAUGCUGUAAUAUAUUGUUGGUUCCCUAACUUAUGAGGGUAAACAACAUGAACAAGAAAAAAAUGCUACAGGCAAACUAAUGGUAUUACCUACCUUUUUGUCUGAUUUUAUUUGGGGUCAUUUUUCAGCUUUACAAUGUAGCACUUUAGUUGUCUUAAAUACAACUUUUGGAGUGGUUUCUCAGGUAGUUGAUAGAGAAGUCACACUUAAAGAUUCACAAGAAACAACCUAUACAUUCUAUAUUCCCGAAGCAAUUGUUUCCCCUUGGUUGCAGUUUCAGACUGUAUUAGCUUUUAUGUAGUACAAUAUUAAUAUCAAUGUCCAUCGUCUUAGGUUUUUUAUUUGUUCACUUUUGUACAUUGAGUUGAAUGUUGUUGCUAUACAUUUCGACUAAAUGUUAGUGUAUUUUGAUUGUUGGAUUUGUUGUAAAUUAAAUGGAUGUCUAUAACCCCUUAAGCAUAUUAAAGUAAUGAGAUAAAACUCUUUACUUCAUUUAUAAUUUGGAGAUCAUUAAAUGGAGUAAUUAAGAAAA